rnacentral:rRNA from 1 species
UACAGAGACUGCAAGCGUUAUUCGGAUUCACUGGGCGUAAAGGGUGCGCAGGCGGCCAAGUGUGUGAGGCGUGAAAGCCUGGGGCUUAACCCCGGAAUUGCACCUCAAACUACAUGGCUAGAGCAUUGGAGAGGGUAGCAGAAUUCAUGGUGUAGCAGUGAAAUGCGUAGAUAUCAUGAGGAAUACCAGAGGCGAAGGCGGCUACCUGGACAAUUGCUGACGCUCAGGCACGAAAGCGUGGGGAGCAAAAGGG